UUUCCUACGGGAGGCAGCAGUGGGGAAUAUUGGACAAUGGGCGAAAGCCUGAUCCAGCCAUGCCGCGUGUGUGAAGAAGGUCUUCGGAUUGUAAAGCACUUUAAGUUGGGAGGAAGGGCAGUAAGUUAAUACCUUGCUGUUUUGACGUUACCGACAGAAUAAGCACCGGCUAACUCUGUGCCAGCAGCCGCGGUAAUACAGAGGGUGCAAGCGUUAAUCGGAAUUACUGGGCGUAAAGCGCGCGUAGGUGGUUCGUUAAGUUGGAUGUGAAAGCCCCGGGCUCAACCUGGGAACUGCAUCCAAAA
rnacentral:rRNA from 1 species